AUCCACCUGGGGAGUACGUUCGCAAGAAUGAAACUCAAAGGAAUUGACGGGGGCCCGCACAAGCGGAGGAACAUGUGGUUUAAUUCGAUGAUACGCGAGGAACCUUACCUGGGUUUAAAUGUAGAUUGCAUGAUCGGGAAACUGAUCUUUCCUUCGGGACUAUUUACAAGGUGCUGCAUGGUUGUCGUCAGCUCGUGCCGUGAGGUGUCGGGUUAAGUCCCAUAACGAGCGCAACCCCUAUCGUUAGUUGCCAUCAGGUCAUGCUGGGGACUCUAACGAGACUGCCGGUGUAAACCGUGAGGAAGGUGGGGAUGACGUCAAAUCAGCACAGCCCUUAUAUCCAGGGCUACACACGUGUUACAAUGGUCGAUACAAAGAGCAGCCACUUGGUGACAAGGAGCUAAUCUCUAAAGUCGAUCACAGUUCGGAUCGAAGUCUGCAGCUCGACUUCGUGAAGUUGGAUUCGCUAGUAAUCGCGCAUCAGCCACGGCGCGGUGAAUACGUUCCCGGGCCUUGUACACACCGCCCGUCAAGCCAUGGAAGCUGGGGGUGCCUGAAGUCUGUAACCGUAAGGAGCGGCCUAAGGUAAAACUGGUAACUGGGGCUAAGUCGUAACAAGGUAGCCG
rnacentral:rRNA from 1 species